GUCAGCAGCCACGCCACCUGCUGCUCAGACUAGGUAAUACAUCUGAAGUUAAGCAGCUUUGGGCUUGGCCAGUACUGGGUUAGGAGAUCAUCUUGGAAAGCUGGGUUGCUGCUGGAA
rnacentral:rRNA from 1 species